UACGUAGGGGGCAAGCGUUGUCCGGAAUUAUUGGGCGUAAAGAGCGUGUAGGCGGUCCGGUAAGUCAGCUGUGAAAGUCAAGGGCUCAACCCUUGAAAGCCGGUUGAUACUGUCGGGCUAGAGUCCGGAAGAGGCGAGUGGAAUUCCCGGUGUAGCGGUGAAAUGCGUAGAUAUCUGGAGGAACACCGGUGGCGAAGGCGGCAUCCUGGACCGGUAUUGACACUGAGGAGCGAAAGCCAGGGGAGCAAACGGG
rnacentral:rRNA from 1 species